AGUAGGAAGUUCAUUGUAGAGGUUUCAAACGGAGUGUUAAUGACUUAUCAAAUCACCUCGGGGAAGGUCUGAGAUAAGAACCAAUCGCUAUCCCUACAGGACAUCAUAUGAACAAAUGAGCGAGCGCACAGGAAAAUGGGUCAGAAUGCAGAAUUGUCGCGCGAGACUUUAGAACGCAACAUAACGAGCCACCUGACGCGACCACCUGACGCAAUGAAUAAUUAACUGGCACAUGAUGCUAGAACCCAAUUCAGACUACUCUCCUACCACU
rnacentral:RNase_P_RNA from 1 species